AGAUGUUGGGUUAAGUCCCGCAACGAGCGCAACCCCACGUUUAGUUGCUAACGCGUGAAGGCGAGCACUCUAGACGAACUGCCGUUGACAAAACGGAGGAAGGUGGGAUGACGUCAAAUCAUCAUGCCCCUUAUGUUCUGGGCUACACACGUGCUACAAUGGCCGGUACAGACGGACGCAAAGCCGCGAGGUGGAGCAAAUCCUAAAAAGCCGGUCUCAGUUCGGAUUGCAGGCUGCAAUUCGCCUGCAUGAAGUCGGAAUCGCUAGUAAUCGCAGGUCAGCAUACUGCGGUGAAUACGUUCCCGGGCCUU
rnacentral:rRNA from 1 species